rnacentral:misc_RNA from 1 species
UGAAAUUAGCAGUCCUCUUGCCCGAGAUUGGUCCCCUGAUUAUACCGGUAGACCAUUUUGAGAUCGACACGAUCGUCACUUUCGAUCUUGAUCAGUAAAUUAGUAUGGUUCCCUCACUGUCAUCAGAUGACAUCCUUAUGGUUUUCCGAUCGCCGGGGUCAUAAAUUUUCAAGCGAAGGGCAAAGAAAACAGUCGGCAAAAGAUCAAGAGCAGCCAAUAUAAUAAGAAUUGUUAUCAGAGGAGCUAGAAUUGGAGAAAUGGAGCA